rnacentral:rRNA from 1 species
CACAGUAAACGAUGGAUGCCCGCUGUUUGCGAUAUACUGUGAGCGGCCAAGAGAAAUCGUUAAGCAUCCCACCUGGGGAGUACGCCGGCAACGGUGAAACUCAAAGGAAUUGACGGGGGCCCGCACAAGCGGAGGAACAUGUGGUUUAAUUCGAUGAUACGCGAGGAACCUUACCCGGGCUUGAACUGCCAGCGAACGAUUCAGAGAUGAUGAGGUCCUUCGGGACGCUGGUGGAGGUGCUGCAUGGUUGUCGUCAGCUCGUGCCGUGAGGUGUCGGCUUAAGUGCCAUAACGAGCGCAACCCUUUUCUUCAGUUGCCAUCAGGUCAAGCUGGGCACUCUGGAGACACUGCCACCGUAAGGUGUGAGGAAGGUGGGGAUGACGUCAAAUCAGCACGGCCCUUACGUCCGGGGCUACACACGUGUUACAAUGGCCGGUACAGAAAGUCGGAUGCCCAUAAGGUCAUUCUAAUCAAGAAAGCCGGUCCCAGUUCGGACUGAGGUCUGCAACCCGACC